AUUGAACGCUGGCGGCAGGCCUAACACAUGCAAGUCGAACGAGUGGCGGACGGGUGAGUAAUGUCUGGGAAACUGCCUGAUGGAGGGGGAUAACUACUGGAAACGGUAGCUAAUCCCGCAUACCAUCGGAUGUGCCCAGAUGGGAGUGGCUAGUUGGGGGGGUAAAGGCUCACCCAGGCGACGAUCCCUAGCUGGUCGAAGAGGAGGACCGGCCACACGGGAACUGAGCCACGGUCCAGACUCCUACGGGAGGCAGCAGUGGGGAAUAUUGCACAAUGGGCGCAAGCCUGAUGCAGCCAUGCCGCGUGUAUGAAGAAGGCCUUCGGGUUGUAAAGUACUUUCAGCGGGGAGGCGUUACCCGCAGAAGAAGCACCGGCUAACUCCGUGCCAGCCGCCGCGGUAAUAC
rnacentral:rRNA from 1 species